CGGACACCUUUGGAUCUCUGAAAUAAAUUUUGAGAUAUCUCAGAAUACCCCUGUGCAUAUCUUAAGAUUUCUGAAAUGUCAUAUAAGGACUGAAUUGGAAGUGGAAGGUGGCUGACUGUAAGCUGAAAUGUGUUACCUAAGAAUCCUGAGCCCUUGAGAUUCAGAUUUAGCAACUCCUUGCCAGACAGAAAUAACUUGGGGAUCUUAAAGCUCACCUGCAAAAAGUUACCUCCUUUGAAGCUGAGAUUGAGGCAACGUCUCUGCACAUGUCUACAUCAACCCCACGGCGUGUCACCUGCUCACUAGGCAAAUGCACAAGUUCGAGACAUCACACGAACAGCACCAACAGUCUUUGAGAAGGACAAGUACAGGGCUAUAGGAACUGUCGUAUUCCAUACAGGCAUAAAUAACAAUAAAUAUUGACAGUUGGAGGUUUUAAAGGUGGACUUCACAGCACUAAUCCAAGCCACGAAAGAGAGAACCCCAGCUGCAGGAAUCAUCAUUUCAGGUCCUUUGCUGUUGGUUAUUAGGUCGAGUGAAGCCUACAGUCGACUAUUGUCCUUAAACAAUUGCUUGAAGGUCUUAUUCAAGAGAUGAAACAUCAGCUGCGUGGACAACUGGGAUCUUUUCUGGGAAAGACUGUUUCUUCAGAUGAGAUGGUCUGCACCCUGACACAUUCAGCGCCCGGGUCCUCUCCGACGACAUCUCAAAGGUCAUCUGUGGUGGCAAUCUGUGCCACCAACACCUGAUCAAGGCAGAAUGGUAAGAAGAUGGAAUGAGGGCAGAUGUUUCAGCUGUUUAUGAAAUCAUCUUUAUCAAAUCCUAUCAUGUGAAGCAUGAAAAGCUAGAGGUUUGAUUUAGGAACAUUUUUAUUAAGUAAAAUGACUUGG